UUUUAUAUUUGUAUUUUCGGGGAAUUUCACUUUGUUGUUAUCCUAAAUAUUUCGCUCAUUCUCUUGGGUUAUACCUAAAAAAAUAAAUGUCAAUUCCGGUGUUGCUAGGGUAACGGUUGCCAAGUUCAAGCCCGGCUCUUACGAAUCUUCGUUUACCGAAGCGUAUCAUUGCUAUCACACCUGUGCUCUUUUGAAAGUUUCGUCGAUAUAUUUGAGUUCCUGUACUUUCUUCUUACCACAGUAAGAUUUCUCUUGUGAGACUUGGUUCUUGAGUUGACUACUCUAGCAUAAUCUUGAGUUGGCGCAAGAGAGAAAAACUGUGAAGUAUGGACCAAGACUGACCUCAAGCACCACAUCUCUCCCUGUCAGCCCAGUGAGCAGCUUCACCAACCUGAGCCAGUGUGAUGUGUCCUGCAGUCUGACCAGCCUAAGCCACCAAGGAGUGCCACUUCCAGUCCCUAGCAGGAGACCUGGACCCCUGAACAAGAUGGUGGACAGGAAGAGAAAGAGAGAUGAGGAUGAUGAGGUAGAGGUGAAGGUUUGUAAGAGGGCCAGGCUAUAGGUAUGGUAGGUAUAGUCAGAUUUACAUUGUUAAUGUAUGUCUGAAGCAUCUAUUUCAGUAAAAUUAAUUGCUAUAUUUUCAGUUUUUUAUAUUUAGCUUGCUUUGAAUGGAAAUAACUUUACUUGCUGCUAUUAUUCUUGUCAUUUUGUGUGAUAUUGUAAUACUUGGUCAUGCUACGUUUCAUCUUUACUUCACUUUUCAAAAUAGGUGCAUGCUUCCUCUAUAAUUGCCAAUGUGAAUGUCACUACUCUAGUUUGUAAUAACUAAAGCCCUAUAAACUGUGUUCCAAUCAGCAAUUGCUUCCUCUCAUUGUUAUUCUUCAGAUCACGUCAUUAACAGUCCUGCUGUUUCUCCCACUGUUCACAACAUAGUGAACCUACAUUGUUGUCACUUUCCCUGCCACUGAUUCUAACCCUAUUCCUGACCCUGAUUCUAGCCCCCCUUCAUUUAUUCAUGCCCCUGCCAGUGGUUGUAGCGCCGGAUCCUACCUGCCAGUGGUUCUAGUGCCUGAUCCUACCCUGCCAGUGGUUCUACCACCUGAUCCUGCCCCUGCCAGUGGUUGUAGCGCCAGAUCCUACCCUGCCAGUGGUUCUACCACCUGAUCCUCCCCC